rnacentral:tRNA from 1 species
CAAGCUAUAGCUCAGAUGGUAGAGCAUACGACUAUUAAUCGUACUGUUGUUGGUUCAAUUCCAACUGGCUUGU